rnacentral:rRNA from 1 species
GACGAACGCUGGCGGCGUGCUUAACACAUGCAAGUCGAACGGAAAGGCCCUGCUUUUGUGGGGUGCUCGAGUGGCGAACGGGUGAGUAACACGUGAGUAACCUGCCCUUGACUUUGGGAUAACUUCAGGAAACUGGGGCUAAUACCGGAUAGGAGCUCCUGCUGCAUGGUGGGGGUUGGAAAGUUUCGGCGGUUGGGGAUGGACUCGCGGCUUAUCAGCUUGUUGGUGGGGUAGUGGCUUACCAAGGCUUUGACGGGUAGCCGGCCUGAGAGGGUGACCGGCAACAUGGGACUUGGGAACCGGCCCGGAUUCUUAGGGGAGGAAGAGGUGGGGAUAAUUGACCAAGGGGCGGAGGCCUGAGGCGGAACCGCGGGGGGGGGAAUGAGGGCCUUGGGGUGGUAAACGGCUUUGGCCGGGGACGAGGGGGGGGUGACGGUAAUGGGAAAGAAGCACCGGCUAACUACGUG